UGCAGAUCAAUUUCGGUUCAUGGACUGCUGUGUGUCAAAAUUCAGGACCCAUCUUGGAGCAUCAGUCAGGGUUACAGAACUUUACAUGAGCAGCAAGUCAAUGUUAACAGCAUUAGUAGCAACACUCAAAAUACAUGACAACCCACUCAUCUUCAUUUCCAAAUCAACAAUCAAUUUCCUCUCUUCCUCAGAAGAAGCUCAACAGAUAAAGCUAAGACUUCAGUACUCUUCCAAUCUGGAGAUACUUCCAAGGCAAGAGUCCUACAGCAAAUUCAUCCUGAUGCUACAGACUGCAUUGUGCUUCCCUAAGUAGCUGUAGCAGGG
ensembl:lncRNA